AUACGGAGGGUGCGAGCGUUAAUCGGAAUUACUGGGCGUAAAGCGCGCGUAGGCGGUCUAUCAAGUCAGGUGUGAAAUCCCACGGCUCAACCUUGGAACUGCAUACGAUACUGGCAAACUUGAGUGUGAGAGAGGAUAGUGGAAUUUCCGGUGUAGCGGUGAAAUGCGUAGAUAUCGGAAGGAACAUCAGUGGCGAAGGCGACUGUCUGGCUCAACACUGACGCUGAGGUGCGAAAGCGUGGGUAGCAAACAGGAUUAGAAACCCUAGUAGUCC
rnacentral:rRNA from 1 species